CCUGGUUUAUCAACAUACAGGACAUCUUUAGUAGUUAUGAAUUAUCAUAAUUUAAUGAGUUGAAAUCAAUUGUUUUAGCAUAAACUAACUACUAUAUUCAUUUCCUUCUAGGCCUUUUUGAGAUCAUUCAUAUGCUA